AGCAAAUCAAAGAUCAUAUAAUAGAAUAAGUCAAAAAACCUAAAUAUGGAAAAAGAAAGAGCUGAAGAAAUGGUGAUUUGAGCACCUAUGCUUUCUCAUAGGUGUUUUUGGAGGUUUCCAUAUUAGAUGCCAUAGCAAAUCAAAGAUCAUAUAAUAAAAUAAGUCAAAAAACCCAAAUAUGGGAAAAGAAAGAGCUGAAGAAAUGGUGAUUUGAGCACCUAUGAUUUCUCAUAGGUGUUUUUUGAGGUUAACUACAUCAGAAAGAUCAAGACAGUUGGAAAUGGAUAUUCAUAUUAUGGAAACUUUUUCUCACAGAGCU